GCCAGCCUGGUGUAGUGGCUUGAGCAUUGGACUACGACUCUUGGAGGUCAGGGUUCGAAUCCCUGCUCAGCCA